rnacentral:rRNA from 1 species
GAUUGAACGCUGGCGGCAGGCCUAACACAUGCAAGUCGAACGGUAACAGGAAGCAGCUUGCUGCUUCGCUGACGAGUGGCGGACGGGUGAGUAAUGUCUGGGAAACUGCCUGAUGGAGGGGGAUAACUACUGGAAACGGUAGCUAAUACCGCAUAACGUCGCAAGACCAAAGAGGGGGACCUUCGGGCCUCUUGCCAUCGGAUGUGCCCAGAUGGGAUUAGCUAGUAGGUGGGGUAACGGCUCACCUAGGCGACGAUCCCUAGCUGGUCUGAGAGGAUGACCAGCCACACUGGAACUGAGACACGGUCCAGACUCCUACGGGAGGCAGCAGUGGGGAAUAUUGCACAAUGGGCGCAAGCCUGAUGCAGCCAUGCCGCGUGUAUGAAGAAGGCCUUCGGGUUGUAAAGUACUUUCAGCGGGGAGGAAGGUGUUGAGGUUAAUAACCUCAGCAAUUGACGUUACCCGCAGAAGAAGCACCGGCUAACUCCGUGCCAGCAGCCGCGGUAAUACGGAGGGGUGCAAGCGUUAAUCGGAAUUACUGGGCGUAAAGCGCACGCAGGCGGUCUGUCAAGUCGGAUGUGAAAUCCCCGGGCUCAACCUGGGAACUGCAUUCGAAAACUGGGCAGGCUAGAGUCUUGUAGAGGGGGGGGUAGAAUUCCCAGGUGUAGCGGUGAAAUGCGUAGAGAUCUGGAGGAAUACCGGUGGCGAAGGCGGCCCCCUGGACAAAGACUGACGCUCAGGUGCGAAAGCGUGGGGAGCAAACAGGAUUAGAUACCCUGGUAGUCCACGCCGUAAACGAUGUCGACUUGGAGGUUGUGCCCUUGAGGCGUGGCUUCCGGAGCUAACGCGUUAAGUCGACCGCCUGGGGAGUACGGCCGCAAGGUUAAAACUCAAAUGAAUUGACGGGGGCCCGCACAAGCGGUGGAGCAUGUGGUUUAAUUCGAUGCAACGCGAAGAACCUUACCUACUCUUGACAUCCAGAGAACUUUCCAGAGAUGGAUUGGUGCCUUCGGGAACUCUGAGACAGGUGCUGCAUGGCUGUCGUCAGCUCGUGUUGUGAAAUGUUGGGUUAAGUCCCGCAACGAGCGCAACCCUUAUCCUUUGUUGCCAGCGGUUAGGCCGGGAACUCAAAGGAGACUGCCAGUGAUAAACUGGAGGAAGGUGGGGAUGACGUCAAGUCAUCAUGGCCCUUACGAGUAGGGCUACACACGUGCUACAAUGGCGCAUACAAAGAGAAGCGACCUCGCGAGAGCAAGCGGACCUCAUAAAGUGCGUCGUAGUCCGGAUUGGAGUCUGCAACUCGACUCCAUGAAGUCGGAAUCGCUAGUAAUCGUGGAUCAGAAUGCCACGGUGAAUACGUUCCCGGGCCUUGUACACACCGC